UGAGGAAUAUUGGGCAAUGCCCGAAAGGGUGACCCAGCAACGCCGCGUGGAGGAUGAAGGUCGUAAGAUUGUAAACUCCUGUUAGAGGGGAAGAAUAACUAAGUUUGGAGCUUAGUAUGACUGUACCCUCAGAGAAAGCCCCGGCUAACUACGUGCCAGCAGCCGCGGUAAUACGUAGGGGGCAAGCGUUGUCCGGAUUUACUGGGUGUAAAGGGCGCGCAGGCGGAAUGGAAAGUCAGUGGUGAAAUCCUACAGCUUAACUGUAGAACUGCCUUUGAUACUUUCAUUCUUGAGUUCGGGAGAGAGAGGCGGAAUUCCAGGUGUAGUGGUGAAAUACGUAGAUAUCUGGAAGAACACCAGUUGCGAAGGCGGUCUCUUGGUCCGAUACUGACGCUGAGGCGCGAAAGCGUGGGGAGCAAAC
rnacentral:rRNA from 1 species